rnacentral:rRNA from 1 species
ACGGAGGGGGUUAGCGUUGUUCGGAAUUACUGGGCGUAAAGCGCGCGUAGGCGGAUUAUUAAGUUAGGGGUGAAAUCCCAGGGCUCAACCCUGGAACUGCCUCUAAUACUGGUAAUCUAGAGUUCGAGAGAGGUGAGUGGAAUUCCGAGUGUAGAGGUGAAAUUCGUAGAUAUUCGGAGGAACACCAGUGGCGAAGGCGGCUCACUGGCUCGAUACUGACGCUGAGGUGCGAAAGCGUGGGGAGCAAACAGG